CUUGUACUCCCUCCGUCCAAAAAUACUUGUCAUUGAAAUGGAUGUAUCUGGAUGUAUUUUAGUUCUAGACACAUCCAUUUUGAUGACAAGUAAUUCUGGACGGAGGGAGUACUUG
rnacentral:pre_miRNA from 1 species